AGCAGCAGCGGUGAGGGGGCUCUCAUAGGUGCUCGUGCUUCCCCA
rnacentral:SRP_RNA from 10 species